AUGGCCCGGUCUAUGCUCUUGGCCUUCGCCUUGCCAUGGUUCACAGGAGCCAACUCACAGUAUACGUUGACUCAACCCGCUGAACAAAUAUCUCCCUUGGGACAAACAGCCAAGAUCUCAUGUACCAUGAGCCGAGACAGCCAAGUAGACCAUCGUAGCAUACGUUGGUACCAACAGAAGGCUGGAGAGAGCCCCAAACACCUUCUCUAUGAUACUGGCACGAACGGCCGGUUCACGGGGUCCAAGGACACCUCGGCCAAUGCAGCCUAUUUAACCAUUACGAACCUCCAGGCUGAGGAUGAGGCUGAUUACACUUGUGGUUUCGGUUACAGCACUUCCAGCAGCUGGAUGUGUCCACAGUGA